GAACGCGGCGGGCGCUUAUGCCUGCAGUGAGCGAAGCUUCAGUAGUUUACUACAGAAAAUGACUGAGCGGCGAACGGGUGAGUAACGCGUGAGCAAUCUACCUUAGUUACAGGGAUAGCCCGAGGAAACUCGGAUUAAUACCUGAUAUUCUUUAUUUCUCGCAUGAGAAUAAAAGGAAAGGUCAGCCGAACUAAGAUGAGCUCGCGUUCUAUCAGCUAGUUGGUGAGGUAAAAGCUUACCAAGGCUACGACGGAUAGCUGGUCUGAGAGGACGAUCAGCCACACUGGGACUGAGACACGGCCCAGACUCCUACGGGAGGCUGCAGCAGGGAAUAUUGUGCAAUGAACGGAAGUUUGACACAGCGACACCGCGUGUGGGAUGACGGAUCUAGGUUUGUAAACCACUUUCAGGAGGGAAGAAAAUGACGGUACCUCCACAAGAAGCCCCGGCCAACUACGUGCCAGCAGCCGCGGUAAUACGUAGGGGGCGAGCGUUGUCCGGAUUUAUUGGGCGUAAAGAGCUCGUAGGCGGUUCAACAAGUCGGUCGUGAAAGUUCAGGGCUCAAACCUGAAAUGUCGAUCGAUACUG
rnacentral:rRNA from 1 species